rnacentral:pre_miRNA from 1 species
UCUUAUGAAUGGGCAAAGAAGAUGGUUUCUUGAGAUGGAGUCUACUCUUGGUGGAAAUGCUGUGAA